AUGGGAACGCGAAGAACCUUACCUACUCUUGACAUCCAGAGAACUUUCCAGAGAUGGAUUGGUGCCUUCGGGAACUCUGAGACAGGUGCUGCAUGGCUGUCGUCAGCUCGUGUUGUGAAAUGUUGGGUUAAGUCCCGCAACGAGCGCAACCCGUUAUCCUUUGUUGCCAGCGGUCCGGCCGGGAACUCAAAGGAGACUGCCAGUGAUAAACUGGAGGAAGGUGGGGAUGACGUCAAGUCAUCAUGGCCCUUACGAGUAGGGCUACACACGUGCUACAAUGGCGCAUACAAAGAGAAGCGACCUCGCGAGAGCAAGCGGACCUCAUAAAGUGCGUCGUAGUCCGGAUUGGAGUCUGCAACUCGACUCCAUGAAGUCGGAAUCGCUAGUAAUCGUAGAUCAGAAUGCUACGGUGAAUACGUUCCCGGGUCUUGUACACACCGAGUCGU
rnacentral:rRNA from 1 species